AUUGAACGCUGGCGGCAUGCCUUACACAUGCAAGUCGAACGGCAGCACGGGAGCUUGCUCCUGGUGGCGAGUGGCGAACGGGUGAGUAAUGCAUCGGAACGUGCCCUGAAGUGGGGGAUAACGUAGCGAAAGUUACGCUAAUACCGCAUAUUCUGUGAGCAGGAAAGCAGGGGAUCUUCGGACCUUGCGCUUUUGGAGCGGCCGAUGUCGGAUUAGCUAGUUGGUGGGGUAAAGGCCCACCAAGGCGACGAUCCGUAGCGGGUCUGAGAGGAUGAUCCGCCACACUGGAACUGAGACACGGUCCAGACUCCUACGGG
rnacentral:rRNA from 1 species